AACGAGCCGAACAAGCUGGUUCCGAGCCGAUGGCUUCCCCUCCGCUCCCACCUCGCUCCCACAGCCGGCGCCCGGCGGUUUUACGCUCGCCGUUCUUUCCACUCCCCACCCCCACUACCUCCCCCACCUCCCAGCGGUUCCCAGCUCCCCGGGUGUCAUGCCGCUCCGAAGCUCCCCCACCGACACACGCAGCGCCAUUUGCUUUCUGAGGCCGGGAGCAGAAGGUCGAGUCGCCGCUCCCGUGUUCAGCGCCAGCGUCGCUGCAGGCUCUUCCGCCGGCGUCGCCCCAAGCUCUUCACCCGGCGCCGCACUAGAUUCUGGACCCGCCGGCACCGCCCCUUUCGGAGUUCUCCGUCGGCGUGCCUUAUCUCCCCUCCCGCACUCAGGUACGGAGGCGUGGGUGCGGCGUACGUAGGCGCUGCCGCUUCCUUCACCUGCACCAGCGGCGGAUCCGGCCUCGCCUGAGCCAGACGCCGCGCCGCCGAGGGCCGUCCCCACCACCGACGCUAGCGGCAUCCAUCCACUAGCGGUGUCUCGCAGGGUAGGAGGAGGCUCCCCAACCGGUGUCUCGCGGAGGCUCCUCCUUCCCCGACCGACGGCGGCGCUAUCUCCUUCCCCGAGCAGCGGCAGCUCGUCUUCGGUUUGAUCCAGCGGCAGCUCGUCUUCAGUUUACUGGAAGUGCUUCUAUGGAUUAUUAAAUCUGUAAUUGAAGAAACUGGGAGUGAUGUUAGAACAGAUCAACUCAGACUGUCUGGAAGACACUAAAGAGUGGAAAGGUCAAGAACCCCUGGCCGAAUGCUGAUGUUCACAGGACUUUUGCUGAACCACUUUGGACUAUUUGAAGCACGCAUGGGCAUAGGAUUCUCAGCUCAUCUGGGACCCUGCCCUUGGCCUGCCACUUGAGAGGCCGAAGAGUGUUACCAUGGAGUGGCUGGAGAACUACUGCAAGAACAAGGCUACUUGAAGCUUGUCACAAAUGCUGGCUUUUCCCAACCUUAUGGUGUUAAUAAUUAAACAUGGGUUAUAGAAGUAGUCAUUUCCGGAUUUCCCCCUUGGCUGUUGAAUAACGCAAGAGCACGAUGCCCUCAGGCGGUAGAAUUUUCUAAUCUUCCUUCACUCGUGGACAUCGAGAUAGUUGAUUUGCGGCAACACUGGCAUAAGAGAUUAGGACAUGCUAAUUAAUCUUUACAUGUCAGCAUUGCAGAAGUGAUUGGGUUGACUAGCAUGAGGACGAGAGGUACGACUUGACAAAAUCUAUAUAAGGGAGGAGAUUUAUUUACAUAGCUAGCAAUACCGCUACUGCCGUACACUGUACCCUCCAGAUGCACAGGAGCUUAAUUGCAUCUUUAGCAGAUCUGUAGGGAAAAUAUUUUCACAAUAAACUUUGUAAAGGAAGCGUAUCGAGAUUCAAGAGGAAUGAAUCAGAAGGUGUUUUCCUA